UAAUGAAUAAAAUGAUAACAGUUGCUGUUUCUUUUCAUUUUAAUGCUGACUGCCGACGAAGAUGAUGCCUGCUAGGUUUUAUUUUUGCCUGCUUAGUUUUGGGAUUCUAUUGACCGUGUGUCAAGUUGACGGAAAUUUGGAAGAUAACCCAAGUCAAGAUAGCAGAAGGUCAAUCCUUAACACACGAGAGGAUGUGGAGUCAAGGAUCGGAGGUAUCUUUCCUGUGGGUCCACUCGUUCCCCGUUUUCCCGGACGAAGACCUGGACGACGUGUAAUAGCCGGAAGACUCGGCAGGGAAACAUUGAUAGAAAAGGCCAUUUUACAGUGAUUUUUUUGGAUGUUGGACUUCAUCUAGAGUUUAAUUUGGACACAUUCGGCAGUAUACUUCAGAACAUGCGUUAUUUUAUAAUUUUGUGGAUUAUAGUCUCUUGUUCGUGAGUAACUAUGUAUACUUAAAGCCUAUUUGGCAAUUCGUGUCUUAAGUUUUCAUUUUUUUUUUAUUUCGAUUUUAUAUUUAUCAAUAAAUAAUCUAAUUCUGGUUGUAACGCGCUUUCUGAUUGGCUAAAAAAAUAUUUUAUAUCGUGUAAAGAUUGUUGCCUACGUCAUAGUAAGAAGAACGUCAAAAACGUAUUAAUACGCCUGACGUUACAUUUGAAUGUUGUAUAAUUUUACGUCAUUUUAAAGGUCAAAUGACCGUUUUUAUCUACAACGAAGAGUAAAAAAAUUAAAUUAUAAGCAAUGAAUUCAACAUUUAUUUGUUUUAUACGAUAUACAAUGGUUUGAAACAGUUAACGCUUUUUUAUAAAAAGUUUCUCGGUUUAUAAAGCGUAAACUACUCCAUCUUUUUAUUGCUUAAAAAGAUCAACAAGAAAAACGAGAAUAUUUGCUGAUAAAAAUAUAAAAUAUAUAUUUGUACAUGACAUUUUUAAAAAAGAUAUUAAGAAAACAUGAAAUGCUAGGAAUUCGCAUCAACACCGAACACUGCCUUUUUUAAUGAAAAAUUACGAAUAUUAUUUCGAUUUAUUACUAUUAUUUUCAAAAUUAAACACUUAACAAUCUGUAUUGUUUUAAUAAGCAAACACAUUUACCAACUAUUGGUAUAUGUCACUUUCACUUAUAUCACAAACCAUUGGUGCAUAAAGUUAUACAUCUAUAAAAAACUUUGCCCUUAACUUUUGUGCUUUAAAAAUUUUUGAACUUACUGUAACCCUAUUAAACUUUGUCCUUGAGUCAAACGUAUAAAUGUUUUAGGAGUAUUAUUGUAUCGGGGACACGUGCUGUCUCUACUAAGGUACUUCGAACACAGGUCCUUCAGCAUGCAAUAAUGUCAUAUACCAGAGAUUUCACAUUGCGUUUGUUAAUUAUACAUAAAUCCGUUUCAAAAUUACGCUUACUGUGACUUUCGAUAUUUCACUUUGACGGAAAAAAAAAACAACAAACAAACAAACAAAAGAAAUAUUUAAAUAGCAAAGAAAAAGUGAAUAUCUUCCACAGGAACAAGUCCAGUUUAAGUUCUCACACAAGGAAUUAAUUUCACUAUAUGUUACUAUAUAGUUUUAAUUCAGUUAAUUAAUUAACAAUACUCUCAGCAUAUAAUUCAUGAAAGAGAAAUUUUAGUUAACUGCUUCAAGAAAAAUUUUAGAUCAAUAAAAAAAUAACGCCUUAUGCGGUUUCUUAGAGAGAUAAUUUAGAGUAAACAUACCUACCCCCAAGUACACGUGGGUUUCACAUGUUGACAAACAGGCUCAGCACCAUCCAGGAAGUUGCAUCAUACAUAAUAUACGUUCAUUUCCAUCUAGUUUAAAGAAGACCGAAAAAUAUGUAAAUCCUUUUAUAAAUUCAAUCAUAUUCUUGAAUUAUAUAAAAUAGUCAAAUAUUUAUAUAUUGUCUCUUGCAAAUGUUUGUGCUCAAACUAAACCGGAAUUGGUUUCAUUUAAAACAAAAAUAGUUAUUACAGUGUAAUUGGAGGCGGCUUUUUAUUUUAUCAUCUUUACUUUUACUGCGCAUAACCGAUUGGAUGGUAUGGAUAACAUUAAAUUGUGUAUAUAGAAUGCAUGGUGACUUGUAUAAAGCAUUAAAACAAUGACAAUUUAGUCUAGGUUAUAAACAUGGAUGGUUGUAGCUAUAAAUAUUUAGAUACAGUUUAUGCUUAAAGUAAUUCACGGGUAUCUCCACGUAAUAAAUAGUUAUAAAAGUCAAAACCGAUACUGAUACGGAAUAUUGUUCUGGAUUGACAUGUUUCGGUUCGAAAUUUACACGGCAAGCUUAAUAUCCGGUGAUGCAGUAAUGGCGCGAUAGAACAGAUAGUUUUGUAAACCUUCAAAGGGAGAGAGAUUGAAACGUUUAGCAAAGACCAGAAAAGCAAGAUGGACAGAAAAACAUUGUUCAGAACCUAGUUGUAGUGCCCACAUAGCUUAUAUAGCAUUUCCGUACGUCGACCAGGCUUACAACCCGUUGGAUGUUUAACCUAUCUAACUGCAUCUCAUCCAUAAAAAUACACAUUUUUUGUCAAAGGGAUAUAUAAGAGUAUUAUUUUGCAUAAAUUGUACUGUUAAAUUGAUCUAAUUUUAUCACGAUUGUUUGUGAUUUUCUUUUUCAUGAGUUGUUUUUUAGUUAAUUAAAAGCAAUGUUACUUGUAUUUUUCAGAUAAAUUUAAAACGGCAAAAGCUACCUUAAAUGAACACUUAGUGUUCUGUUCUUUUUUUCGCAUUUUUAGCAAAACAAAUCAAAUUGUAUUGUUAUUAAUCAAUUAACAGGAACGCUACUCGAUAUUUCUACUUAAACUGUUUUUUUUUCAUAAACAGUGGAAUCAUUUGAAAUCUCAUGGAAGCAAAAUUUCAUGGAUUGUUUCUUUAUUUUUGUGGAUUAUAGCUUAUUCUAGGGGAUAUUAUUUUAAAGAUGAAUCAUUUUUGGGAGUUGAUUUUAAUCAACUCUCCUAUGCAGUUACUCUGGCAAACCGAAAGUGAAACAGUGUUUGGAUCUAAGCACAAAUCAUCAUCGCUUACAAGACUAAGUUCUCGAAAAUAAUAGAAAAAUAUGAAGCAUUGUUUUUCAUGGAAACUUAUCAACACACUUUGUAAAUAGUCUGUUUUUUCAUAAUACGAACAAUUUAGAUAUUUUUACAGUCUCAUGUAUUCUUACGCCAGAGAUGAAUAUAUCAACCAAACGAUCGGCUGUCUCGAGCUCCGUAAAUCUCCGACAAGCAGAGAGGCUCUCUUGCUUGUCGGAGAUAAGCGGUGACAGCCGAGAGUCUGGUUAAACGAGACUAAGAGUUCGAUAUCAAUAGUGCUUGGAUCCAUACAAUUUUUAGAACUGCUUUGACUACUAAUACAUAGUUUGUAAUCUAUCUUUAAAUAUUACAAAAGGAUUCAUAUGGGGUUUCUAAAAAAUUUUGUCGGAAAAAUAAAAAAAAAUCAUAUUAUAAAAAAGUGCGUGAUUCAAAUACAGACUAGAAACUAAUUGCCAUGCAAGAUAAGUUGAUUUUAAAAUAAAUGAUAAUCGAUAAAAUCAACUCCCGUCAGUACUUCAGUACUUUGAUUUAGUUACUGUAAGAACACUAACUCUUUCAAAAUUUGUUUUCAUCGAGGAUGGGGAAGAACCUACUUCACUAAAAUACUACGACAAUUGAGACACAACGAAUUCUAAUGAAUCCAUAGAGUACACAAUCGACAACCGUUCCUCUAGUUGAAAUCGAAAGGAAAGUGCUGCUGCUGAUGACCUAGUGUCGUUUUCCUGUUGACAAGUACAGCUCGUGAUAAAAAAUUCGGGGGAAUUUUUCGUCACAUGAACUGAUGUUAAAUCGCCAUUGUUUAGUGUUCUAUCUCCAUUUGUUCGCUAGCCUUCAGCCAUGAUCACUUGGCGGUUCAAAGUUUUACUCCUGCUCUCUGUGGGGAUGUUGCUGACUCAUAAUUGUGUGAAAGGAAAUUUAGGGAGUGUGUUAACACAGUCUGGAGGGGAUGGUAGAGGAGUGAUGAAUAUUACAAGCAGACGAGAUAGCAUUAUCAACACUGGGCCGAAUCGUCGUUUACCUGGACCAAGACCUCGGGGUGGGGGGAGAUAGUGACAACAAAGAACGAUUACGUGAUCUAUUGUCACGGCAACACCCAAGAAUGAAGUGCUGAAUUAUGGACCCAUAUUAUUGCACCAUUUAUCUAUUGCUUAUUGUGUAUUUCUACCCAUAAAAAAGUUUAAAGUGUG